rnacentral:rRNA from 1 species
UACGGGGGGGUAAGCGUUGUUCGGGAUCACUGGGCGUAAAGGGCGCGUAGGCGGCCGAUUUAGUCGGGGGUGAAAGCCUGUGGCUCAACCACAGAAUUGCCUUCGAUACUGAUUGGCUUGAGACCGGAAGAGGUCAGUGGAACUGCGAGUGUAGAGGUGAAAUUCGUAGAUAUUCGCAAGAACACCAGUGGCGAAGGCGGCUGACUGGUCCGGUUCUGACGCUGAGGCGCGAAAGCGUGGGGAGCAAACAGG